AUGCAGUCAGCUUCUGAUGGCAGAUCUAACUCGAUCUCCUUCUUGGAUCACCUCAAAUUUUUUUGAUAUUGAAGAUGGAUCAGAGAAGGAUACUGGAUGGUGGAGAAACUUUAGAUGAAGACUCUCUUCUCUUUGAUUUUUUUCUUACCCAAAAAUCUAAGACAGUUAUAGGUCUCUCAUCCAAGAGGAGAAUGGUCUCCUCUUUUGUUCACACC
rnacentral:lncRNA from 1 species